rnacentral:rRNA from 1 species
GACGAACGCUGGCGGCGUGCCUAAUACAUGCAAGUCGAGCGGACCGGCUUGGGGCUUGCCUUGAUUCGGUCAGCGGCGGACGGGUGAGUAACACGUGGGCAACCUGCCCGCAAGACCGGGAUAACUCCGGGAAACCGGAGCUAAUACCGGAUAACACCGAAGACCGCAUGGUCUUCGGUUGAAAGGCGGCCUUUGGGCUGUCACUUGCGGAUGGGCCCGCGGCGCAUUAGCUAGUUGGUGAGGUAACGGCUCACCAAGGCGACGAUGCGUAGCCGGCCUGAGAGGGUGACCGGCCACACUGGGACUGAGACACGGCCCAGACUCCUACGGGAGGCAGCAGUAGGGAAUCUUCCGCAAUGGGCGAAAGCCUGACGGAGCGACGCCGCGUGAGCGAAGAAGGCCGUCGGGUCGUAAAGCUCUGUUGUGAGGGACGAAGGAGCGUCGUUCGAAGAGGGCGGCGCGGUGACGGUACCUCACGAGAAAGCCCCGGCUAACUACGUG